UAGGCGAUGGAUUGGCUCAGCCAUGUGCUCGUCGUGUCAGCGGGGCGCAAGCCGUCAUGGGAUGGGGGAUGUACACUACUACAAUGCACGUGAUUGAUGGUUGAACAUUCAUUCUCGUUGACAGUGUAUUAUUGAAAUAUUUGAUUGUAAUGAUGGUGUAUUAUACUAGGCCUUGCAUGCUCCCAACGUGUGGCAUAUUUCACAUUGAUACUACCAGUAUCAAUUACAAAAAAAUAGAUUGUGAGUAACAAUAGGCCUACAAACAAUGCUACAUGUCAUGAGGGUGGGAACGGGGAAGGGGGGGUAACUGUCUCGACGUCCCGUUAGGAAAAAAGGCUUAUCCCGUUUCCCAAAACGCAAUUUUAGCCGAAUCGUGACGCAAAACACGGCUUGUCUCGAAUCCCGCUAAAAUAAGGGUGUCUAUCCCGAAUCCCGACAGUUAUUUUCGGCCCAUCCCAGUGUCCCGAAAAUACCCGUUCUCCCCCUCAUACAUAGUAGACCAUAUUGUCACAUUGAUGUUUUCUUUCAUUACAGUUAGACUUCGAGAUCUACAUUUUCGACAAAGGCCUGGUGUAAUAUUAUUACGUACUUGAUGAAGGUUUAAUGACACGAAUGAGUACAAGUACAUUACAUUUUUCGACGAAGGCCUUCUGUAAUUUCAUACGCUUCUUACGCAACAUUCAGUAGAUUUAUUUACUGUAUUAUCAUUUCGACCAAGGCGAAUUCGACACUUCAAUUACACAAGGUUAGUAACUUUUGUUCACAAAAUCCAAAUGGAGGCAAAUACAGAACAAUCAAACUUAGUCAUUCCAGUCAGUUACUGAAGCACAGUGAAAACUGUCGGGAGCAGUGCAACUGAUGGCAUGUCAAACUUCCAGUGACUGUCCCUGUCCAUAUAUUUCAAGACAGUACAAAUCUUGUAUUCAUUUUGUUUAUGCAAUGUACGUUAUUAUGUAUCAUUUCAGCACAAUCAAACUUAGUCAUUCCAGUCAGUUACUGAAGCACAGCGAAAACUGUCUGAAUUCGUGCUGCUGAUGGCAUGUAAUUACUCUACUACCACUACCAGUGACAGUCAAUGUCCAAAUAUUUUCAAGUGUGCGAAAUUAGUACUCGUCUACUUCUUAGUGUUAUUUGAAUGCAAUGUAUGUUAUAAAAAUAUUUUUUCAACACUAUAUCAACAUUCUCAUUCCUGUCAGUUUCUGAAAAUCAGCUAAAGCAAUCGCUACCAAUGCAGCUGAUAACAGCAAUUCUUUUUGUUCCCAAUGCCCAUCCAUGACAAUAUAUUUCACGCAUGUGACAAUCAUGUAAUCAUCCUGUUUUUUGUGUUCUAUUCAUGCAAUAAAUAAAUUCAGUAUUUUCAAAUCAUUGGUGCUACAAAACUAUUCUCAUUAUAGAUUAUUUAUAUUUUAUAAAAUGCUGUCAUAUCAAAUUUUGUGUCCUAUAAAUCAUAAUGAAGUCGGCAUUUUAUAUACAAUUUUUGUACUCCUCCUAAAUAAACAUACAAAUCUUGUUUUAUGUAAACUUUGUAUAUGUGACCCGUCACAGCAAAACCAGGCGCAUGUCGCUCUGAGCUUGGCAGGUUGAGACGGACUGUUCUAAUCUUUCAUUAGCGACCCCAUUUCUUACCAGAGUGCCUCCUUCAUUCAUACAUCUUGUACUUUAACUCAAGAUACCCAUCUUUUUACUAUCAGAUCCAUAGAAUAGCAAAGAUCAGACGAUACCUGGACAAUACCACCUGUGCCAGAGUAAUAAAUGCGCUAAUAACAUCUCGCCUGGAUUUCCAAAACGGUCUUUUGCUCGGAUUACCGGGCUGUGAAAUCCAGCGCCUUCAAAAAGCACAAAAUGCUAGUGCUCGCCUCUUAACCAGGUCCAAAAAGAGAGAGCACAUAACCCCUAUUUUAAAAUCUCUUCAUUGGUUGCCGGUGACAUCACGUAUCGACUACAAAGUUCUUCUCACAACCCACAAGGUCAUCCAUCAUGAGGAGAGCCCACAGUAUAUGAAGGAACUUCUCAGUCUCCGUGCGCCCGGCCGCAGACUUCGGUCCUCGGAUGACCCUUGGCUCCUUGCCAUCCCACGUUCAAAUGGGGUCUUCGGGGAUCGAUCUCUGUGUGUCCGGGCCGCGGGGCUGUGGAACGCCCUUCCAAGCUGGUUACGUGAUGUCACUGUGCUAAACACUUUUAAGAGUAAACUCAAAACUCAUCUUUUUAUCCUAACAUAUUCAGAGUAGGCCAUACAUGUUUUAAAUAUUGAUAUUUUCCGGAUGUUUUUAAACUGUUUUUUAUCCUCAUGAAAUCACCACUUUUAAUGUACUCAUUUAAUAUUAUGUACAGUGCUUAGAAAAUGUAUGCACCAUUAUUUUAGCACUUUAAAUCAAAUAAAUUAUUAUUAUUAUUAUUAUUUGAAUAUUUUUAGUAUACCAAGUACUACAAUGUCAAUGUAUUGAAGUCAUGUUCUUGUAGUGUUAUUGGCUUUCUAUUAUCUUGUCAAAAUACCACUUGGUUCUCGCAAAAUCUCAAUAAAAACAAAUGCUAUUGCAUGUAUUGCAUAUUCUAACAGCUAUCCACUGUAUCGAUUUAUCCAUCAUCUGUACUAUUUGUCACAAAAAUGUUAUAUUAUGUAAAUCAUAUUUCAUUACAUAAUGCACACUGCCAAUUACUGCUGAACCAUUCAUAUGUCAUUUAAAUAAAUAAUUUUCAACUUUUUAAAACCGUCUUAUAGUACUGUUCUUGUCACUUAGCUGAACCAAUUGCUCUAUAGCAUGAAAUUUCCAGAAAUGCCCCAGGGACUGAAAAGUGCUGUUUUAACAGAGAGGUGUCCUAAACUGAGAAGUCGAGUUGAAUGGAAACAACCAAUUUGGAACCAAAAACUUCUGUCCUUAUUAAAGAGGUUGUCCUCAAUAGAAAGGUGUCCACAAAAAGUAGGUCCACUGUAUAUGAAAGUACAAACCCUGGUACAUGUAGUGACAUCAUCUACUCCUCGAUGUGGACACCUGCAAAUGCAGCGACAAUGUCACAUCAGUUAUUUAAUUCAUCGUCCUUUGUGCAGAUGGCACCACCCAUCAAACAUGUUGGUGACGAAUAGUGUCGCAGCAUUUCGUCACCGAGCUUUCACGAAAAUGCACUGUCAUU